GACCAAACUGGUGGCCUAGUGGUUAGUGCAUCCAUCUUGGAUGUGGGAGGUUGCGGGUUCAAACCCCAGCAGAGUCA